UUGCCCUAGUAACGGCGAGUGAAGCGGCAAUAGCUCAGAUUUGAAAUCUGGCGUCUUCGGCGUCCGAGUUGUAAUCUGUAGAGGAUGCCUUUGGGUAGCCACCGGUCUAAGUCCCCUGGAACGGGGCGUCACAGAGGGUGAGAAUCCCGUAUGUGACCGGAAGGGCACCCUCCACAAGGCUCCUUCGACGAGUCGAGUUGUUUGGGAAUGCAGCUCUAAAUGGGAGGUAAAUUCCUUCUAAAGCUAAAUACCGGCCAGAGACCGAUAGCGCACAAGUAGAGUGAUCGAAAGAUGAAAAGCACUUUGGAAAGAGAGUUAAAAAGCACGUGAAAUUGUUGAAAGGGAAGCGCUUGCAACCAGACUUGUUGGCGGUGUUCCGCCGGUCUUCUGACCGGUCCACUCACCGUCUGCAGGCCAGCAUCAUCUGGGGCCGCCGGAUAAAAGCGAGGGGAACGUGGCUCCCUCGGGAGUGUUAUAGCCCCUCGUGCAAUACGGCGAGCCUCGGGUGAGGUCCGCGCUUCGGCUAGGAUGCUGGCGUAAUGGUCGUAAGCGGCCCGUCUUGAAACACGGACCAAGGAGUCUAACAUCUAUGCGAGUGUUCGGGUGUCAAACCCCUACGCGUAAUGAAAGUGAACGGAGGUGGGAGCCUUAGGGUGCACCAUCGACCGAUCCUGAUGUCUUCGGAUGGAUUUGAGUAAGAGCAUAGCUGUUGGGACCCGAAAGAUGGUGAACUAUGCCUGGAUAGGGUGAAGCCAGAGGAAACUCUGGUGGAGGCUCGCAGCGGUUCUGACGUGCAAAUCGAUCGUCAAAUUUGGGUAUAGGGGCGAAAGACUAAU
rnacentral:rRNA from 3 species